AAAACAAAGUCAGAAAAAACAAUUAACAGAGUUGUUUUUUGUUUUUCUGUUUCGGGUUUAAAAACCAACACACAAAACUCACAAACGCAAAUAAAAUGCCGUUUAUAACCCCCGCCCCCUGCCCCCGGCGUAAAAGCAGUUCUAGUUCUAGCCCAGCUCAAUGCUGGGGCUGGAGUUGAACCGUUUUUUUAGAGGCCGGAGCCGGUUCUCUGGCGGUGUGAAACCAAAACACUGGCCCUAGCUCCGAACUAGCCCGGAACGGGCUCCGAUUUUGCGGCGGUGUGAAAGGCCCAUCAGAGGCCCUGGUAGGUCCUGCUGUUCUCUCCCAUCUGUGUUUGAUGCUUUUUACAAACAUUGCCUCUCUCGACCUCUCUCUACGUCAUGGCUCAAGCAUGCUCAACAGCUUUGGUUGAACGCUCUCUGCGCCUCCGGCUGGGCGUUAGGGUUCCUUGGGGUUUGUCGAUCCGGUCCGUCAGGAAGUACACAGAAGGAAUUUAAUGUUAUGUUUUUGUGAUGAAGUGUUCACCAAUGAGAAUGGGCCCAGAAAAAAGGGCUCUACUACGACGACACCUACUCCCCUAUACAGCUGCCAACCUUCUGGCAAUCGAGACUUUAUUGCAGUUCGAGCAGGUUGAUUGUGUAUUCUCUCUCACGGACAUCCGAGCAUCUCCAGCCAACAGGAUGCCCUGCGCUGUCUUAUCCAUCCUGGUGAUCUUUGUGUGUCUCGCACCGAUACUGGAAACACUGAGCAGCACACUGGAUGACCGAAUGAAGAUGAUUCAAGUUAUUGAAUUGGAGUUCAAUUCCCUGAAGGACUACUACAAUACCCGGAAGGAAGCCGUCGCUGAAGAGUUCAAAGAGAUUGAAAGAGAACUGGACGCUACAUCGGCCAUAUUACAACAAAGCAGUGGGCCACAUUUUGAGGCCAGCAAGAAGAACUCUGAGACACUGAAGGAGUGGUACACUGAAACUAAAGAUACAUUUCUCCUGUUCACUGAAGUCUUUGACAACGCGUAUGAGUUCUUCCAGAAGGGAAUCGAGGAAGUCAAAGACCUUGUCCAUGAAAACGAGGACCACUUCAAUACUCGGAUGGACGCGCUCGCAGAAGAGUUCAAAGAGAUUGAAAGAGAACUGGAAGCUUCAUUGGCCAUGUUACAUCAAGGCAGAAGGCCCAAGUUUGUGGCAAGCAAGAAUUACCUUGAGAACCUGAGGGAGUGGUACUCUGAAACUAAAGAUAAAUUUCUCCUGUUCACUGAAGUCUUUGACAACGCGUAUGAGUUCAUCCAUAAGGGAAUCGAGGGAGUCAAAGACUUUUUCCGUGAAACCGAGGGGAACAAAGAUGAAUUAUAAUCACACCUUAUUAACAUUAGCAUUAGUUAUACAGUAAUAAGCAUUAUUAUAUGGCAUUAGAAUAGGGGUGAGUGGGUUCUUCAUCGCUGAUGCGUCACUGCGUCACACACAGGAUGAUGGAGGGUGGAACCUGUUGGCCCGUGUCAGAAAGUGUCAGUCAGGGUCAGAGAGUUUAGGUUUCUGACUGCUUUAUUGGUUAGUUUUUGUGGUCAUAUUUAGGAUUAACUGAGUGAACAUCUGUUCAAAUGUCAUGAUUUUUGGGGUUUUGGGUCUUUCUUUUCACAAUAUCUCUUCUGUCUGAGUUUGUAUACAGAUCUUGUAAACUCUCCCUAAUUACUGGUAAAUAUACGAAUAGAUAAAUGUUUUUGUCAUAUCUUGGUAUUCUCAUUUGUUUGGAGUAUUAUUUUUUUUUGCCUUGUGAAAAAGUAUAGAAGAGAAGCUGAUAUUUAUUUGGCAACAGACUUUGACAAACCGAAUGCAGGUCUCUGAACACGCCCUAGCCUUAAGAGAAAUGCAGACUCCCGUACAAACACAACAAACUAAAACAUGGGAACAAAAUAACAAGUGGAAAUCUAGUUGAACGUUCACUGAUGUGAUUAUUGUUACUAUAUUAUGCUAUUUACCAUUUUAUCGCAAAUACCAAAUAUAUAUAUGUUAAUCUCUCGCAUUUUGGUGGAGUGCAUUCGAUGUCCCAAUUUGGACAAAUGUAAACGCAAGAACAACAGAAGAAUCUUUAUAGGUUUAGGUUUAGGUGUGGUCGCUCAGUGCUUUGCAAAACCAAAACAAACAAAAGCUCUCAAUCAUUCAAAGCCGGUCUGCCUCGAUAUGGAACUACUCUGUGCUGAAGGUCUUGUGCGCAGUUCUUAGUAACUUAGUAACAACAAGCGGUAAGCAGGCCCAUAUUAACACGAUACACCCCCCCCCCCCCCCCCCCCCAAUACACACCAAAAAUAUCAGACCUAAGCAAGGGGAUUUCUUCAAUGUAAUUGACUAACUUGUCCAACCACAUACAUGUAGGCAUAUGAUCAAUGAGCAAUGUAUUCCAAUGUCUCAAUUCAAAAUGUCUAUCAAUUCAAAAAGCACAGCGCUCAAAUCAAAACAGAAAAAUCAAUUUAAUGUUUUUGACCCUUUUGAUCUACUCCUCAUAUAGGCGUGUAACUCCUUCAAUAUCUCAAGUGGCAUUUUCGUAUUUCUCACACUGAUCUCUCUGCGAUACAAGAACGCAGUGACUCCAAAAGACGUUCUGCAUUGUCUAAAGUUAUGUCGUGAUUUAUGAGUCGUGAAGGUCGAAUCAUAUAAAGUGGUUUGUCUUUGAGUUUGUGUCAGUGUGUACGUGUGCGUGUGCGUCUGUGUAGGUGAGCGUGUGUUUUGUUGAUGUGUUGCUCAAUGGGUAGUAUUACGUAUGCAUGUUUUCCAUGUUUCCAUUGUUUGAUCAUGUUUGGCAUUUCAUUUACCCAUUAUAAUAUAUAGAAAAUAGACAAUUAGAUAUAGAUAAUAUAUCAUUACUGCCAACAAAUAGCUUUGGUUAAUCAAUCUAAUGCUACGUUCAAUGCCAAAUGUUAAAUGCUAAUGCCAUAUGCUACGUGCUGUGUGUGAAAUGAAAAGUGAUAAAAAAAUAUAGUGUUAAUGCUAAAUGCAUUGUGUUACAUGUUACAGGCUUUGUGCGGUAUACUACAUUCUCUGUCCAUAAUGCUCACGAUAAACAAAAUUUUCUAAAUGUGGUCUGAUAAAUGAUAUAUGCUAAAGGCUAUGGGUUGAAUGCCAAAUGCUUUGUGCUUUAUGCUAAAUACUUUUGAUAGAUGACAUGCUAUGGGCUUUGUGCUGUUUGCUAAAUGAUCUUUCCAAAAUGCAAUCUGAUUCCGUCUGAUAAAUUAUACAUGCUAAAGGGUAUUUGUUGAAUGCUAAAUGCUUUGUGCUGUAUGCUAAAUACUUUGUGAUAGAUUAUAUGUUCUAAAUGUUAGCAGCUAAAUGCUAUGUGCUAAAUGCUUACGGGGCUAAAUGCUGUUGCUGUUACAGUUGAAAGACUGAGUCAGAUGAGAGAUGGAAACAGGUCAAAGAUCGUAAGCCAAAGAUCAAUGGCGUGUGUGUGUGUGUGAAUAAUGGCUGUCCAUUUCAGGUCACCACUUACCACAGGGGAUUACAUCAGGAGUGUGUGUGUGUGUGUGUGUGUGUGUGUGUGUGUGUGUGUGUGUGUGUGUGUGUGUGUGUGUGUGUGGACUUACACACAGCGACAGCGAGAGAGAGAGGAUGUAGCAAAUACCCAAAUAAAUGUUUUGAACUCGCACUUUUUUCUGGGUAUGAUUCAUCUGUCAGCCAAACAUAAAACUUCACACAAUCACCCAACCACCAUCUCCAACAACCCCCUUAAUUUCCUCACCCAUCUCACACACACACACACACACACACACACACACACACACACACACACACACACACACACACACACACACACACACACACACACACACACACACACACACACACACACACACAUACACACACACACACACACACACACACACACACACACACACACACACACACACAGAAGUGAUUAUGACGGUGGUCAAAGGAUUUUUCCAAUCUAUUUUCAAUGUAUUCACUUCCUCCUGGCCUCAACCAUUGACGUCACGGCCACAGAUCAAUGCACCGGCUCCAAAUCAGAUUUUGACUUCUUGCAUGUUGCAUUGAUUGAAUCAAUGCUUCCUACUUCCAACAGCGGACGCAAG
ensembl:lncRNA